CCGGAUUGACUGGGCGAAAAGAGCGCUCAGGCGGUCGUUCAAGUCGAGUGUGAAAGCCCCCGGCUCAACUGGGGAGGGUCACUCGAUACUGAUCGACUCGAAGGCAGGAGAGGGAAGUGGAAUUCCCGGUGUAGUGGUGAAAUGCGUAGAUAUCGGGAGGAACACCAGUGGCGAAGGCGACUUCCUGGCCUGUUCUUGACGCUGAGGCGCGAAAGCUAGGGGAGCAAACGGG
rnacentral:rRNA from 1 species